rnacentral:rRNA from 1 species
CCUACGUGAGGCAGCAUUAGGGAAUAUUGCUCAAUGGGGGAAACACUGAAGCAGCAACGCCGCGUGGAGGAUGAAGGUUUUAGGAUCGUAAACUCCUUUUGUGAGUGAAGAUAAUGACGGUAUCUCCCGCAUAAGCACUGGCUAACACCGUGACAACAGCCGCAGUCCUACGGAGGGUGAAAGCGUUACUCGGAAUCACUGGGCGGAACGAGUUCGCAGGCGGGUGUGUAAGUCAGAUGUGAAAUCCUGUAGCUUAACUACAGAACUGCAUUUGAAACUAGGAGGCUAGAGUGUGAGAGAGGUAGGUGGAAUUCGUGGUGUAGGGGUGAAAUCCGUAGAUAUCAAGAGGAAUACUGAUUGCGAAGGCGACCUACUGGAACAUUACUGACGCUCAGGCACGAAAGCGUGGGUAGCAAACAGGAUUAGAUACCCCAGUAGUC